AAAUUGCGAUUGUUUAUUAAUUUAAAAAUGAGUUAUGAGUGAUUUAAUGAUUUCCUUCAGCUUAGCCACUAGUUUUAUUUUUAUGCUACAUACUACAUACAUGAGCGAUAAUAAUUUUUUUUUUUUAAGUUUAGUAGAUCAUACACUGAAUUUCUAAUAUCAUUUAUAGAUAGUCAACAUUAAUAUUCUUUAUCGAUUAAUUAAUAUUUAGAGCAAUUUCAGUAUAAAAAUAUUCGAGUGUUUUAUAAUAAAAACAAUUUUUCAAUACCUACUCUUAUGUUGUAACUUGUAAUUGUAAAUUAUCCUUAAUAUAAUUUACAACAUUGCUUUUAUAUUAUAUAGUCAUUUCAAAGUAUCAAAAAUGAUAAUAAUUGGGACUAAAUAUGAAAUACCAAACUCGACAGUGAUAAGUCAAAAACUAAAGUGAAAGCCAGAGAUCGGUAAAUCGCAUUAUUGCAGUGCGGAUCAAUUACUGAGUCAGGAAAAUCGAACACCUACAAGAAAACUUCACAAAUACGAUUCUGGACGUUUGAUAUAAAUAAAAACAAGCGUUCAAACGACGAUAAGAAUAACAAUGAAAACGGAAUAUCGUUAGUAGGACCGGAGUUGGACUCGACCUCGUACAAUGACUAUGUAUAAGUCUACUUACCUUCGGGCCUGUAGACGUUCAGGUACAGACAGUCCUCGGAAAUCUUGACCGGACUCGGCGUGAUGGUGGCGAAC